UGUAAGACUGGGAUAACUCCGGGAAACCGGGGCUAAUACCGGAUGCUUGAUUGAACCGCAUGGUUCAAUUAUAAAAGGUGGCUUUUAGCUACCACUUACAGAUGGACCCGCGGCGCAUUAGCUAGUUGGUGAGGUAACGGCUCACCAAGGCAACGAUGCGUAGCCGACCUGAGAGGGUGAUCGGCCACACUGGGACUGAGACACGGCCCAGACUCCUACGGGAGGCAGCAGUAGGGAAUCUUCCGCAAUGGACGAAAGUCUGACGGAGCAACGCCGCGUGAGUGAUGAAGGUUUUCGGAUCGUAAAACUCUGUUGUUAGGGAAGAACAAGUACCGUUCGAAUAGGGCGGUACCUUGACGGUACCUAACCAGAAAGCCACGGCUAACUACGUGCCAGCAGCCGCGGUAAUACGUAGGUGGCAAGCGUUGUCCGGAAUUAUUGGGCGUAAAGCGCGCGCAGGCGGUUUCUUAAGUCUGAUGUGAAAGCCCCCGGCUCAACCGGGGAGGGUCAUUGGAAACUGGGGAACUUGAGUGCAGAAGAGGAGAGUGGAAUUCCACGUGUAGCGGUGAAAUGCGUAGAGAUGUGGAGGAACACCAGUGGCGAAAGGCGACUCUCUGGUCUGUAA
rnacentral:rRNA from 1 species